GAAUGCUGACAUAAGUAACGAUAAAGCGGGUGAAAAGCCCGCUCGCCGGAAGACCAAGGGUUCCUGUCCAACGUUAAUCGGGGCAGGGUGAGUCGACCCCUAAGGCGAGGCCGAAAGGCGUAGUCGAUGGGAAACAGGUUAAUAUUCCUGUACUUGGUGUUACUGCGAAGGGGGGACGGAGAAGGCUAUGUUGGCCGGGCGACGGUUGUCCCGGUUUAAGCGUGUAGGCUGAUUUUCCAGGCAAAUCCGGAAAAUCAAGGCUGAGGCGUGAUGACGAGGCACUACGGUGCUGAAGCAACAAAUGCCCUGCUUCCAGGAAAAGCCUCUAAGCAUCAGGUAACAUCAAAUCGUACCCCAAACCGACACAGGUGGUCAGGUAGAGAAUACCAAGGCGCUUGAGAGAACUCGGGUGAAGGAACUAGGCAAAAUGGUGCCGUAACUUCGGGAGAAGGCACGCUGAUAUGUAGGUGAAGCGACUUGCUCGUGGAGCUGAAAUCAGUCGAAGAUACCAGCUGGCUGCAACUGUUUAUUAAAAACACAGCACUGUGCAAACACGAAAGUGGACGUAUACGGUGUGACGCCUGCCCGGUGCCGGAAGGUUAAUUGAUGGGGUUAGCGGUAACGCGAAGCUCUUGAUCGAAGCCCCGGUAAACGGCGGCCGUAACUAUAACGGUCCUAAGGUAGCGAAAUUCCUUGUCGGGUAAGUUCCGACCUGCACGAAUGGCGUAAUGAUGGCCAGGCUGUCUCCACCCGAGACUCAGUGAAAUUGAACUCGCUGUGAAGAUGCAGUGUACCCGCGGCAAGACGGAAAGACCCCGUGAACCUUUACUAUAGCUUGACACUGAACAUUGAGCCUUGAUGUGUAGGAUAGGUGGGAGGCUUUGAAGUGUGGACGCCAGUCUGCAUGGAGCCGACCUUGAAAUACCACCCUUUAAUGUUUGAUGUUCUAACGUUGGCCCGUUAUCCGGGUUGCGGACAGUGUCUGGUGGGUAGUUUGACUGGGGCGGUCUCCUCCUAAAGAGUAACGGAGGAGCACGAAGGUUGGCUAAUCCUGGUCGGACAUCAGGAGGUUAGUGCAAUGGCAUAAGCCAGCUUGACUGCGAGCGUGACGGCGCGAGCAGGUGCGAAAGCAGGUCAUAGUGAUCCGGUGGUUCUGAAUGGAAGGGCCAUCGCUCAACGGAUAAAAGGUACUCCGGGGAUAACAGGCUGAUACCGCCCAAGAGUUCAUAUCGACGGCGGUGUUUGGCACCUCGAUGUCGGCUCAUCACAUCCUGGGGCUGAAGUAGGUCCCAAGGGUAUGGCUGUUCGCCAUUUAAAGUGGUACGCGAGCUGGGUUUAGAACGUCGUGAGACAGUUCGGUCCCUAUCUGCCGUGGGCGCUGGAGAACUGAGGGGGGCUGCUCCUAGUACGAGAGGACCGGAGUGGACGCAUCACUGGUGUUCGGGUUGUCAUGCCAAUGGCACUGCCCGGUAGCUAAAUGCGGAAGAGAUAAGUGCUGAAAGCAUCUAAGCACGAAACUUGCCCCGAGAUGAGUUCUCCCUGACUCCUUGAGAGUCCUGAAGGAACGUUGAAGACGACGACGUUGAUAGGCCGGGUGUGUAAGCGCAGCGAUGCGUUGAGCUAACCGGUACUAAUGAACCGUGAGG
rnacentral:rRNA from 1 species